AGUGAACGCUGGCGGUGGGCCUAAUACAUGCAAGUCGAACGGAAGCACAGUAAGAUCUUGCUCUUACGGGUGGCGAGUGGCGGACGGGUGACGAAUGCAUCGGAAUCUAAUUUUUCGUGGGGGAUAACGUAGGGCAACUUACGCUAAUACCGCAUAUGAUCUACGGGUGAAAGCAGUGGAUAUUCGGACUUUGCGCGAUUGUAUUAGCCGAUGCCGGAUUAGCUAGUUGGCUAGGUAAAGGCCCACCAAGGCGACGAUGCGUAGCUGAUCUGAGAGGAUGAUCAGCCACACUGGAACUGAGACACGGUCCAGACUCCUACGGGAGGCAGCAGUAGGGAAUAUUCCGCAAUGGGCGAAAGCCUGACGGAGCAACGCCGCGUGAGUGAUGAAGGCCUUCGGGUCGUAAAGCCCUGUUGUUAGGGAAGAAAAGAAGUAGAAGAAAACCCCGACGUCCUGACGGUACCUAAAGAGAAAGCAACGGCUAACUACGUG
rnacentral:rRNA from 1 species